ensembl:lncRNA
UGUUACUUGGUGAUAUGUCCAAAGCCUUUGAUCCAGUAGAUCAGGCAAAGCUCCUGCAACAUCUGUCUGACAUUGAACUGUGUCCAAGGUUACUAGCCUGGCUCCACAGCUACACCACAGGUAGAAGACAGAGGGUGUUGGUUACUAGCCUGGCUCCACAGCUACACCACCAGAAGAAGACAGAGGGUGGUGGUUACUAGCCUGGCUCCACAGCUACACCACCAGAAGAAGACAGAGGGUGGUGGUUACUAGCCUGGCUCCACAGCUACACCACAGGAAGAAGACAGAGGGUGAUGGUUACUAGCCUGGCUCCACAGCUACACCACCGGUAGAAGACAGAGGGUGAUGGUUACUAGCCUGGCUCCACAGCUACACCACCGGUAGAAGACAGAGGGUGAUGGUUACUAGCCUGGC